CUUUUACGUCGGCCUUCGCGAGCGUCUGGGCGGGUGGUAGGAACAAUGGCGCUGUCUUCAGUGGCACAGUGGAGCAGCUCUGAAGAUGCAAAGAUACACGAAAAAACUUCCAGAACAUCUGGGAGAAUAUUUAAUGGAAAAUCGCUUGGUUAAAACCUGACACUUUUAACAGUGAACAGCGUUCUGAGUGUGGACGAGUAGCCAGUGAAGAUAAUGAAUGUCGAAUGUGACUGACUAGCAGCUUCAUUUUGAAUGAGGGUCGCUGUCUGCCCAUUGAUAGAGGCCAGAUUGUCUUGGAAGUUCCAAAGUUGCAACGAUUUCUGGCUAGUGCCACGAGGUUUACUUGACUGUUGUGUGAAAAGCUGAUAAGAAAACCAUCCAGAAAAAAGCUCUUCGUUUUACAAACAUGAAAAUAAAACAUGUAAUUUUGGAUUAUGUUCCUUUUUGUUAUUACUUUUAAAUAGGUCCUGAAAUAACAUGGGGAGCAUUAAAUGGAAAAUCCACUAA